rnacentral:rRNA from 1 species
UACGUAGGGUGCGAGCGUUAAUCGGAAUUACUGGGCGUAAAGCGUGCGCAGGCGGUUCGUUGUGUCUGAUGUGAAAGCCCCGGGCUCAACUUGGGAACGGCAUUGGAAACUGGCGAGCUAGAGUGUGGCAGAGGGGGGUGGAAUUCCGCGUGUAGCAGUGAAAUGCGUAGAGAUGCGGAGGAACACCAGUGGCGAAGGCGGCUACCUGGACCGGUUCUGACGCUGAUGCGCGAAAGCGUGGGUAGCAAACAGG